CACGUAGGCACCAAGCGUUGUCCGGAUUUAUUGGGCGUAAAGAGCUCGUAGGCGGUUCAGUAAGUCGGGUGUGAAAACUCUGGGCUCAACCCAGAGACGCCACCCGAUACUGCUGUGACUUGAGUACGAUAGGGGAGUGGGGAAUUCCUGGUGUAGCGGUGAAAUGCGCAGAUAUCAGGAGGAACACCGGUGGCGAAGGCGGAUCUCUGGGCCUUACCUGACGCUCAGGUGCGAAAGCUAGGGGAGCGAACAGG
rnacentral:rRNA from 1 species